rnacentral:snRNA from 1 species
CAACUGCGCGCUAACCUA